rnacentral:pre_miRNA from 1 species
UCUCCCUUGAUCCCUAUGAGCAAAACUUUAAUUUGCCGUUUUGUUCGUUCGGCUCGAGUCAGAG